rnacentral:misc_RNA from 1 species
CCUGUUCGAGCGUCAUUAUAACCAAUCAAGCUCUGCUUGGCUUUGGGGCCCGUUGUACUGGCGGCCCUUAAAAUCAGUGGCGGUGCGUCUGGCUCUAAGCGUAGUAAUACUUCUCGCUAUAGGGUCUAGUCGGCACCCGCCAGAACCCCCAACUUUCUUAGGUUGACCUCGGAUCAGGUAGGGAUACCCGCUGAACUUAA